CCUACGGGAGGCAGCAGUGGGGAAUAUUGGACAAUGGGGGGAACCCUGAUCCAGCGACGCCGCGUGAGGGAAGAAGUAUUUCGGUAUGUAAAGCUCUAUCAGCAGGGAAGAAAGAAAUGACGGUACCUGACUAAGAAGCCCCGGCUAACUACGGGCCAGCAGCCGCGGUAAGACGUAGGGGGCAAGCGUUAUCCGGAUUUACUGGGUGUAAAGGGAGCGUAGGCGGCGAUGCAAGUCUGAAGUGAAAGGCGGGGGCCCAACCCCCGGACUGCUUUGGAAACUGUAUGGCUGGAGUGCAGGAGAGGUAAGUGGAAUUCCUGGUGUAGCGGUGAAAUGCGUAGAUAUUAGGAGGAACACCAGUGGCGAAGGCGGCUUACUGGACUGUAACUGACGUUGAGGCUCGAAAGCGUGGGGAGCAAACAGGAUUAGAUACCCCUGUAGUC
rnacentral:rRNA from 1 species